rnacentral:lncRNA from 1 species
CUGAACUAGAUUGAGCGAGAGCAAGAAGGACAUUGAACCAGCACCCAAAGAAUUUUGGGGAACGGCCUCUCAUCCAGGAACAGAGGAAGGAUGAACACAGAUGAAUUCCGGGCAGAACAGCGAGGUGAACGACAGGAUCCCUCAGCUUUGGCCAUCCCUUGCCUGUGACGUCAGUCUGACUCUCACACCCCCAGGAGAUGUCGGCCCUCACCUAAACAGGACGGAGGUGACAUUGUAGCUCUUGUCUUCUUUCAGCUCAUAGAUGGUGGCAUACAUCUUUUGCGGGUCUUUGUCUUCUCUGAGAAUUGCAUUCCCUGCCAGGCCUACCACAUACCACUUCCCCUGG